CCUACGGGUGGCAGCAGUGAGGAAUAUUGGUCAAUGGACGAGAGCCUGAACCAGCCAAGUAGCGUGAAGGAUGACUGCCCUAUGGGUUGUAAACUUCUUUUAUAUGGGAAUAAAAUGUUCCACGUGUGGGAUUUUGUAUGUACCAUAUGAAUAAGGAUCGGCUAACUCCGUGCCAGCAGCCGCGGUAAUACGGAGGAUCCGAGCGUUAUCCGGAUUUAUUGGGUUUAAAGGGAGCGUAGGUGGAUUGUUAAGUCAGUUGUGAAAGUUUGCGGCUCAACCGUAAAAUUGCAGUUGAAACUGGCAGUCUUGAGUACAGUAGAGGUGGGCGGAAUUCGUGGUGUAGCGGUGAAAUGCUUAGAUAUCACGAAGAACUCCGAUUGCGAAGGCAGCUCACUGAACUGCAACUGACACUGAGGCUCGAAAGUGUGGGUAUCAAACAGGAUUAGAUACCCUGGUAGUC
rnacentral:rRNA from 1 species